UACGUAGGGGGCAAGCGUUGUCCGGAAUUAUUGGGCGUAAAGGGCGCGCAGGCGGCCUGUUAAGUCUGGUGUGAAAGACCGCGGCUCAACCGCGGGGUGGCAUCAGAAACUGGCAGGCUUGAGUGCAGGAGAGGAGAGUGGAAUUCCCGGUGUAGCGGUGGAAUGCGUAGAGAUCGGGAGGAACACCAGUGGCGAAGGCGGCUCUCUGGCCUGUUACUGACGCUGAGGCGCGAAAGCGUGGGGAGCGAACAGGAUUAGAAACCCCCGUAGUCC
rnacentral:rRNA from 1 species